GACGAACGCUGGCGGCGUGCUUAACACAUGCAAGUCGAACGGAAAGGCCCUGCUUUUGUGGGGGGCUCGAGUGGCGAAAGGGUGAGUAACACGUGAGUAACCUGCCCUUGACUUUGGGAUAACUUCAGGAAACUGGGGCUAAUACCGGAUAGGAGCUCCUGCUGCAUGGUGGGGGUUGGAAAGUUUCGGCGGUUGGGGAUGGACUCGCGGCUUAUCAGCUUGUUGGUGGGGUAGUGGCUUACCAAGGCUUUGACGGGUAGCCGGCCUGAGAGGGUGACCGGCCACAUUGGGACUGAGAUACGGCCCAGACUCCUACGGGAGGCAGCAGUGGGGAAUAUUGCACAAUGGGCGGAAGCCUGAUGCAGCAACGCCGCGUGCGGGAUGACGGCCUUCGGGUUGUAAACCGCUUUCGCCUGUGACGAAGCGUGAGUGACGGUAAUGGGUAAAGAAGCACCGGCUAACUACGCG
rnacentral:rRNA from 1 species